rnacentral:rRNA from 1 species
GAGUUUGAUCCUGGCUCAGAUUGAACGCUGGCGGCAGGCCUAACACAUGCAAGUCGAGCGGUAACAGAGAGUAGCUUGCUACUCUGCUGACGAGCGGCGGACGGGUGAGUAAUGCUUGGGAAUAUGCCUUUUGGUGGGGGACAACAGUUGGAAACGACUGCUAAUACCGCAUAAUGUCUACGGACCAAAGUGGGGGACCUUCGGGCCUCACGCCAUAAGAUUAGCCCAAGUGGGAUUAGCUAGUUGGUGAGGUAAUGGCUCACCAAGGCGACGAUCCCUAGCUGGUUUGAGAGGAUGAUCAGCCACACUGGGACUGAGACACGGCCCAGACUCCUACGGGAGGCAGCAGUGGGGAAUAUUGCACAAUGGGCGCAAGCCUGAUGCAGCCAUGCCGCGUGUGUGAAGAAGGCCUUCGGGUUGUAAAGCACUUUCAGUAAGGAGGAAAGGUUAAGUGUUAAUAGCACUUAGCUGUGACGUUACUUACAGAAGAAGCACCGGCUAACUCCGUGCCAGCAGCCGCGGUAAUAC